UUACUUUAGCCCUUCAAUCUCUUCCUCACAUUACACUACACCAAAGAAAAAAAAGAGAGAGUGAGAGAGAGACGAAGAGAGAGCCGAGAGAGAGCAAGAGGAGGAAAUUCCCACCAUUCUUGUCCAUCCACCACCAAGUCCAACCAUUCUUGAGGUGGUUCGCACGGCCGCUAAAGACGGAACGAGAAUCUACUUAAGGAAAACUCUAAGCUUUUGAGGUUGAGCGUGGACGGGAGACGAAGGAUGUUGAGCAUUGGACCGAGACCAUAUUCAAU